rnacentral:pre_miRNA from 1 species
AGUGCUAUUGCUGGAUCAUAUGGUAAGUAUAUGUGCAGUUUUUUAAGAAACUGCCAAGCUGUUUUCCAGAGUGGCUGUGCCAUUUUACAUUCCUACCAGCAAU